rnacentral:rRNA from 1 species
GACGAACGCUGGCGGCGUGCUUAACACAUGCAAGUCGAACGGAAAGGCCCUGCUUUUGUGGGGUGCUCGAGUGGCGAACGGGUGAGUAACACGUGAGUAACCUGCCCUUGACUUUGGGAUAACUUCAGGAAACUGGGGCUAAUACCGGAUAGGAGCUCCUGCUGCAUGGUGGGGGUUGGAAAGUUUCGGUGGUAGGGGAUGGAAUCGCGGCUUAUCAGCGUGUAGGUGGGGUAGUGGCUUACCAAGGCUUUGACGGGUAGCCGGCCUGAGGGGGUGACCGGCGACCAUAGGACUGAGAGACGGAGCAGUGUCGAAUGUGAGGCAGCAGUGGCGAGUCUUGCACAAUGAUGGGAAGUGUAAUGCAGCGGCGUCGCGUGCGGGAUGUGGGCCUUCGGGGUGUAAACCGCUUUCGCCUGUGACGGAGCGUGAGUGACGGUAACGGGUAAAGAAGCACCGGCUAACUACGUG